GCUCAAGCAGGCACCACACUGAACAGUCAAUCUGAGCAGCUUCCCUCUUGCGGUAAAAUUAAUUUACUGUAAUGUACAUUACUUUCAGUGGAAUGAUACUGCUCGUGUUUUAGCAGGAUGGGGAAGAUUCCACUUUGUCUUUUUAUUGUUUUAUAAGGCAGAUAAUGCAGAAAGUUAAAACAGAACUUCUACAAGCAUUUAAUCUGUGAUAUUGUAAAAUCAAAGUACUACUUUAUUAAAUGAGUUAUUUUACACAAUAUGAACAUCAAUAUAAUUACAAUUGUAAAAAAAUUUUUGUUUUUAUAACAAGUAUGGACUGAUUUUUUUCAGGAUUUCCAAAGAGGGCACAACUGUACAUUUACACAAUUGUCUUUGCAUGAAGCCCAAGAGGGAACAGCAUAAAAAUAUGAAUGUUUCUGUAGCCCCUUCAUUUUUGCUGAUCAACAGUUUUAGAAAAGCAGCUGCAGGUUUGUUAUGUAAGGUCUGACAGUAGAAGAGUCAAUAGGUGCCAUGAUUUCACCUGUAGAUAUCUUUACGCCUGAACAUCAGCCAGUUCUGGAGGAAGAGGAGUCUUAGGAUGUUUGCUUUCAAAGUGCUGUUUGAAGGUCUUGGGAUCCGGCAUUUGUGUCCUACAGACAGUGCAGGUAUAUAUCAAAGCAGCCUUGGCUGCAGCCUUCUGAUCGUGUCCUUGCUUCUUUUUUUGCUCAGCUUGCUUUUUGGCAUUUUUCUGCUGCGACUGAAUCUUCUGCUGUCCACGAGCCAUAUCCGGCUGGGAGCGCGGCCUAGGGGCCCUCGCGAGCGGGAGGAGAUAGCUCCGCGCGGCCCCGCCGCAGCCGCCGCCGCUGCCUGAGAGAAGGAGGAGGGAGGAGGGGAGCGACCAGCGCGCAUGCGCGGCCCCACCUCAGCGCCCGCACCGCCCGACCUCG
rnacentral:lncRNA from 1 species